rnacentral:rRNA from 1 species
UACGGGGGGUGCGAGCGUUGUCCGGAAUCACUGGGCGUAAAGGGCGCGUAGGUGGCCUGAUAAGGGUGUGGUGAAAGUCCGGGGCUCAACCCCGGAUCGGCCGUGCCGACUGUUAGGCUAGAGUACUGUAGGGGCAGGCGGAAUUCCGGGUGUAGUGGUGGAAUGCGUAGAGAUCCGGAGGAACACCAGCGGCGAAGGCGGCAUCCUGGACUGGUCCUGACACUCAGGAGCGAAAGCGUGGGGAGCGAUCCGG